AUGGUGGGCACUCUAAGGAGACUGCCGGUGACAAACCGGAGGAAGGUGGGGAUGACGUCAAGUCAUCAUGGCCCUUACGGCCUGGGCUACACACGUGCUACAAUGGUCGGUACAAAGGGUUGCCAAGCCGCGAGGUGAGCUAAUCCCAUAAAACCGAUCGUAGUCCGGAUCGCAGUCUGCAACUCGACUGCGUGAAGUCGGAAUCGCUAGUAAUCGUGAAUCAGAAUGUCACGGUGAAUACGUUCCCGGGCCUU
rnacentral:rRNA from 1 species